rnacentral:pre_miRNA from 1 species
AAAAACUCAAUUCAUGGGUUUCCGUGUCUAACGUUUGACCGUUCGUCUUAUUUGAAAAAAUUAUGAAAAAAUUUAAAAAGAUAAGUCAUGCAUAAAGUAUUAUUCAUAUUUUAUCAUCUAACAAUAAUAAAAAUACUAAUCAUAAAAAAAUUCAUAUAAGACGGACGGUCAAACGUUGAACACGAAAACCGAAGAAUUUGGUCUUU